UACGUAGGUGGCAAGCGUUGUCCGGAUUUACUGGGCGUAAAGAGCGCGCAGGCGGUCGUGCAAGUCGCGUGUGAAAGCCCCCGGCUCAACUGGGGAGGGUCACGCGAUACUGCUCGACUUGAAGGCAGGAGAGGGAAGUGGAAUUCCCGGUGUAGUGGUGAAAUGCGUAGAUAUCGAGAGGAACACCUGCGGCGAAGGCGGGUUGCUGGGCUGACACUGACGCUGAGGCGCGAAAGCUAGGGGAGCGAACGGG
rnacentral:rRNA from 1 species